rnacentral:rRNA from 1 species
GAUGAACGCUGGCGGCGUGCCUAACACAUGCAAGUCGAGCGAUUCUCUUUGGAGAAGAGCGGCGGACGGGUGAGUAACGCGUGGGUAACCUGCCUCAUACACAUGGAUAACAUACCGAAAGGUAUGCUAAUACAGGAUAACAUAAGAGAUUCGCAUGGAUCUCUUAUCAAAGCUCCGGCGGUAUGAGAUGGACCCGCGUCUGAUUAGCUAGUUGGUAAGGUAAUGGCUUACCAAGGCGACGAUCAGUAGCCGACCUGAGAGGGUGAUCGGCCACAUUGGAACUGAGACACGGUCCAAACGCCUACGGGAGGCAGCAGUGGGGAAUAUUGCACAAUGGGCGAAAGCCUGAUGCAGCAACGCCGCGUGAGUGAUGAAGGCCUUCGGGUCGUAAAACUCUGUCCUCAAGGAAGAUAAUGACGGUACUUGAGGAGGAAGCCCCGGCUAACUACGUGCCAGCCGCCGCCGUAACAC